GCCAGACUCCUACGGGAGGCAGCAGUGAGGAAUAUUGGUCAAUGGGCGCGAGCCUGAACCAGCCAAGUCGCGUGAGGGAUGACGGUCCUACGGAUUGUAAACCUCUUUUGCCGGGGAGCAAGCGUGCGUUCGUGAACGCGCGUCGAGAGUACCCGGAGAAAAAGCAUCGGCUAACUCCGUGCCAGCAGCCGCGGUAAUACGGAGGGUGCGAGCGUUAAUCGGAAUUACUGGGCGUAAAGCGCACGUAGGCUGUAUGACAAGUCAAGGGUGAAAUGCCACGGCUCAACCGUGGAACUGCCUUUGAAACUGUCAAACUGGAGUAUGUGAGAGGGCGGCGGAAUUCCUGGUGUAGGAGUGAAAUCCGUAGAUAUCAGGAGGAACAUCAGUGGCGAAGGCGGCCGCCUGGCACAAAACUGACGCUGAGGUGCGAAAGCGUGGGUAGCAAACAGGAUUAGAUACCCCCGUAC
rnacentral:rRNA from 1 species